CCCUUAGAUGUUCUGGGCCGCACGCGUGCUACACUGAGUAGAUCAGCGGGUCAGGUUGCGCGAAAGUGUUUCCUAAUCUUGAAAUCCGCUCGUGAUGGGGAUUGACGGUUGCAAUUUUCCGUCAUGAACGAGGAAUACCUUGUAAGCGCGGGUCAUCAUCCCGCGCUGAAUACGUCCCUGCCCUUUGUACACACCGCCCGUCGCUCCUACCGAUUGAGUGGUCCGGUGAGGCUUUGGGAUCUGAGCGGAAAGAGCGUUUCGCUGUUUCUGCUCGGAAAACUCAGUCGAACCUUAUCAUUUAGAGGAAGGAGAAGUCGUAACA
rnacentral:rRNA from 1 species